GAGUCGGACGGGCGGUCGCGACGUUUUCGUCGAGGAAAGUCCGGGCUCCGCAGAGCACGGUGGUGGCUAACGGCCACCCGGGGUGACCCGCGGGACAGUGCCACAGAAAAUAAACCGCCAAGGUUUCUUGGUAAGGGUGAAACGGUGAGGCAAGAGCUCACCGCGACGCUGGUGACAGCGUUGGCAGGGCAAACCCCACUGGGAGCAAGAUCAGACAGUCGGUGCUUGAGGGCUGCUCGCCUGAGCCGACGGGUAGAUCGCUAGAGAUUGUUGGCAACAGCAGUCGUAGAUGGAUGAUCGCCAGGGCCUUUUGGCCUUACAGAACCCGGCUUAUAGUCCGACUCAU
rnacentral:RNase_P_RNA from 1 species